AUACUGCAGGUUGUACAUUGUAUGUUUUAUUGCCUAUAUAUACAUAUGACAUUGUAAAUCAAUGCACAUCAAUUUUACUUAAAUAAAUUCCUUUUUUACGAAAUAGUUUAUCUCUCUUUCUUUUCUCUUUCCUUCUUCGUUCUUCUUAAAAACUCUAAUUGUUCCAUCAUAAUAUAAGUUGGUUUGCUUUGAUAUGUUAUUUUUAAUAUUUAUUGGGAAGUAAGUUUUUUUUUCUUAAUUGAAAAUGUUUUUAUAUUUCUUUCUAAUGCAUUUUCUAAUGCAUGGUGAGCAUGGUGAGGAUAGAACAUGUUAGAUAAGUUGAAUUUAUGUUAUUUGAUUAUUUAUAUUUUUAAGUUAAUAAGUGUAGUCAUUUAAUAUUUUUU
rnacentral:lncRNA from 1 species